UCUGAAAACAUGAAUGUGCUACUGGCCACAAAAAGGUUGGGGAUCACUGCAUUACAUAGUUUUUCCAUAACAGAAAUGUUUCUGAAUAGUUUUUUCCUUAGGUAAUUUAAGUGUCCAUAAGCUGCUGGAGUGAUUGGGUAUUGUUCGUGAAAUCUGCCAGAGCAUUUUAAACAUCAAAAACAUUUUAUAAUUAGGGGUUAAGGGCGUUUGUUGCAUAACUUCAUAAAAAGGAAGACAGAAAAACUUCUCAGAUGAGUCCAUUCUUCAAAUGACGACAAAUAUUUUGAUGUUUACCAGAAGCUGGGAAUGGGCAAUGGGAUGGAUCACUUGAUGUUUACCUGUUCUAUUCAUUCCCUCUGAGGCAUCUGGCAUUGGCCACAAUUGGAAGACAGGACACUGGGCUAAAUGGACGAUUGGUGUGAUCCAGUGUGGCCAUUCUUAUGAUAUAUUACGUGUUGCAAACAAGCUCAUACUGUUGUGGGACCACAGACUUUUGCUUUAAUUAAAAAUAUUUAAUUUAAACAUAUAAUCUCACCGUAGCUUACUUAGGGUGCAGUGCGUAAGGUUACAUCUUCAGUGCAGUGACCCACAUGGGCACAAUAGCACAUCACAAGACAGUGAUGUAGCAGUUACUUUCAGAUCUUUGCCAAUAUAGCCUUCCCCGAACACACAGCAGCUUGCGACGUUACUAUAUUUUAACAGUCAGGGAAAUCUGUUGCCUGCAUAGGACUGGAGAAUUCACUCUACAGAGCUGGGGUGGGGAGAUUUGAGGAGUUGGAAGCUUUUCAAGUAGGUACUGAUUUUUCAUCUGUCCUCCAACAUAACUGGGUCUGCAACCCAGUCUUUCACAAAGCUUUAGCAUAGCAAAGCUCCGAAGCUUCACCAAAAGCAGAACUUGUCCGUACCCCAAACCUGAAUAUUAUGUUAGCCAUUUUUUCCUUGGGGUAGGUCUUCACAGCAAAAGAUGUGCACGGGCUGGCCUACCCAAGCUCACUUGAAUUGAGCUUGCAUGUGUAACACUGUUGUAAGAAUAGGAUUUCCUAUAGCACUACAAGAAUUAAUGUAUAAUUUGAUUUCAUCCUGCUAGCCACCCUUUUUGAAAAGCAGAAAGAAAUGACCUUCUGGGACUAUGAGAUUCUGUUUUCUCACGUGCAUUACAAAUUGGGCCCUCUUUAACUCUUUGUUUUAAGAUUUAGUGAGUAAGAGACAGGAUUCUCUAUUAUGUCUAUGUUAAGUAGAUUAGAGAAACAUUGAAGGCCUGGGUCUCAAUGUAAAUUGUCUUGGUUAUUGAUUGUAAUUUGCAAUGCCUUUUUGCUCGAUAUAAAAUACUACUGUUUGCAUUUUCCAUCUGUUUGUGUGAAUGAGGAAUGUAUGCAUUAGGAAAAGAUAAGAUGUGAAGGCCAUUGUUAUAGCCAGAGUCAAGGAAGAAGAAGUAAAGAGACUUUAAGGACAUCAAAGAAUCAUCAACGCGCAUCCAUAAUAAAGGGCAGAUUGACGACCCUGAGGUGAAGGCUGGCACUCCUAAGGACAAUUGAUGAAAUCAGAACAAAGGACAGGAUGACCGUCUCAGAGGUGUAUUGGAAAGUUUACACCAAUUAAGAAGUAACCGAUCACAAACUGACACAGCAAAAUCCAUAGACUUCAACAAAGGAAAAAACCCUAUAAGAACAUGGGACUUUGGGUUCAUCUUGCCACACUCCAGGAGCAUCGGAGCGCAACCAACAAGAGCCCAGCUCCACACUCGUGCUCAAUCUAACUGACCAUUAGAUUGACUUGAGCUCCAACAAACUGGUAACUAUGAACAUCACUGGCAAGACUGUGUGUGUGUGUGUGUGUGUGUGUGUGUGUGUGACUGAAAAGCAUAUGCUAACUGUUGUAUUUUCAAUAAAUGCUGCGUAUUUGCCUUCCUCUAUAAA